rnacentral:rRNA from 1 species
CGGUGCAGGAUGGGCCCGCGGCCUAUCAGCUUGUUGGUGGGGUAAUGGCCUACCAAGGCGACGACGGGUAGCCGACCUGAGAGGGUGACCGGCCACACUGGGACUGAGACACGGCCCAGACUCCUACGGGAGGCAGCAGUGGGGAAUAUUGCACAAUGGGCGGAAGCCUGAUGCAGCGACGCCGCGUGAGGGAUGAAGGCCUUCGGGUUGUAAACCUCUUUCAGCAGGGACGAAGCGUGAGUGACGGUACCUGCAGAAGAAGCACCGGCUAACUACGUGCCAGCAGCCGCGGUAAUACGUAGGGUGCGAGCGUUGUCCGGAAUUACUGGGCGUAAAGAGUUCGUAGGCGGUUUGUCGCGUCGUUUGUGAAAACCCGGGGCUCAACUUCGGGCUUGCAGGCGAUACGGGCAGACUUGAGUGUUUCAGGGGAGACUGGAAUUCCUGGUGUAGCGGUGAAAUGCGCAGAUAUCAGGAGGAACACCGGUGGCGAAGGCGGGUCUC